rnacentral:tRNA from 2 species
GCGGGCGUCGUAACCUGUUGAAUUUAAAGAGCUAAAUGUAGACCCUCAUGAUUUAGGUUCCAGCGGCGCAAGCUGUAAGAGUUCGAGUCUCUUCGUCCGCACCA